rnacentral:miRNA from 1 species
ACGGUGGCCCUGAGGUGCAAAACACAAAGACAAAUCAGACAACACAACGCAAAAAAAGAAAACACAACACAAAAAGAGAAAACACAACAACAUUAACCAUUGUCUUUUCUCUUUUCGUGUCGUGUGUUCUCUUUUUGUGUUUUGUGUUUUCUAAUUUGCAGUUGUGUUUGCACCUCAGGGCCACUGUA